UGUGAUAGUAUCCUUUAUGUUCUGUGAA
rnacentral:piRNA from 1 species